rnacentral:lncRNA from 1 species
AUCUAUGCUUCUUGUGAGGGAGAAUAUUGGCUUCAAGAAUGCAUCCAGGUAGCUAUGCUUCGUACUAAGCAUAUCAUGGUACUGAGUUGAUGAUCUACAUAUUAAAUAAAUUUAAUAAACAACAACGAUAUUUUUGGGUGACAAAGAAUAGUAUACAUUUAUCUUGUUAUAGAUUUAUAUUCGUAGGCAAUUUUGUUUCACAUAUUUUUGGAAGAUUUUUCUCAAAUACAUUGUGGAUUUUGAGCCAAUAUAGUCAAUUGCAAUAUUCUUCUUCUAAACUGCUUGUUCGAAAUGACUCUUCAUCUUCGCCUUUGUGGAUUUUCAUUGGCAUCGUCUUUGGCCUUCUUACUCAAUUUAAAUUGGAUUUUCACAAUAAGCAAAGCAAAUCUAUCUAUCUUACUCGUCAUCAGGGGGUGAGUGUGAGUUCUUUUUUUUUUUCCCCACCAUUUGUCUCUUUUAUUUUCUUUGCAGUAGCAUCAUCAUUUGCUCAGCUAUUAUUAAUGUCAAAGGCCAUCAUUAUUUGUGUUAAGGGCUACUUACGGGAGGAAUGUUCCCUGCUCUUAUUGUAUUUGUCAAAGGCCAUCAUUUUUUGUCAUAUUUCAUUAAUGUCAAAGACUAUCAUUUGUCUUUAUGAAGCUUUUCGACUUUAUCAUCUCUCUCACCAUGCUUUUAGCAUUCUCACACUACUUACCUUUUCAUAUUUUACAUCAUUUGUAUUUUACAUCAUUUGUUUUUUAGGUUGCUUCUAUACGAGGAAUGUUAUUCAAUAUUCUGUUCUUAAGAAUCAAAUCAAAUCAUAUCAUAUCAUAUCAUAUCAUAUACAUUUUGCCCAUGCUUGUAUAUCAAAUCAUAUCAUAUCAUAUACAUUUUGCCCAUGCUGUAUAUUUUGCCCAUGCUUGUAUAUCAAAUCAUAUCAUAUCAUAUACAUUUUGCCCAUGCUGUAUAUUUUGCCCAUGCUUGUAUAUCAAAUCAUAUCAUAUCAAAUCAUAUACAUUUUGCUCAUGCUGUAUAUUUUGCCCAUGCUUGUAUAUCAAAUCAUAUCAUAUCAAAUCAUAUACAAAAAUGUUAUCAUUUGCUUCUCUACUCUAAAUGACAUAAGAGGAUAGCGCUAUAUUUUUAUUAAUAGGAAUAAUAGUGGUAGCAGGCUGUAUAUUUUGGGUUUUGCCUAAAACCAAUACUUAAUUUUGGGUAGUUAAGUCUUGGAUAGCGCUAUAUUUUUAUUAAUAGGAAUAAUAGUGGUAGCAGGCUGUAUAUUUUGGGUUUUGCCUAAAACCAAUACUUAAUUUUGGGUAGUUAAGUCUUGUUUAGAGUUGUUUAGAGUUGCUUAGGAGGUAGUUUAGUCUAAUAUAAUCUCAUGAAUCUUUUUUUAAUGAAUCAAAAUUUUUUUAUUUUUUUUAUUCAUCAUAUAUGUUGCAAAAAGUUCUUAUGUUACAUAUAUAGAAGGAAUUAUUUAUCUGAUUGUUAAUAUUAUAUUUUGUUACAUAUAUUAAUAUUGUAAUGGAUUUUUUUUGUUACAUAUAUUAAUAUAUUACAUGUAUUAUAGCCAUAGUAGUAUUAUACAAUGGAGUUAUUAGGUAGGUAAAAAUUUAAAAAUUUCAGUAGAAUAUUAUGGCUAUAAUACACUACUGAAUUGAAUUAAUAUGCUCAAUUAGACUUUAUUAUUAGACUCUUUGGUCAAUAAUAAAGUCUAAUUGAGCAUAUUAAUUCAAUUCAGUAUAUGAGACGAAUAGAUAGGAAGUAGGUUGUCUUCAUUAAUCUAUUCACAAUGAUCCAAGUUUCAUCAUAUCACUUGUUGGUCUUAGGUCUUAGGUCUUAGGCAUAGUUAUAUCAUUCAAAAUUUUACAUUGUUGAUCUUAUAUUCAAUAUAGAGACAUCAUCGAAUUUUUGAUAAAGUAGUUAAAUUGGUUGAUUUUCUACCAAUUUAAACAUCAAUCAAGUUGAUUUUCUACCAAUUGUUGAUAAACUCUAUUGAGUUUAAACAUCAAUAGAGUAUUCAAUAUUAUUUAAUUAUAGAUAUGAUAAUAUUGAAUACAUAAACUCUAUUGACCUUGCAGGUUGAAAUACUACUCUUUUUUUGGUGUAAUGAUGUUUAAACAAUUAGUAUUCAAAUAAUAUAUUAAAAUCUUAUAUAUUCAAUAUUAUCAUAUAUUGAUAAUCUGAAUUGGACAAGAUUUAUGUAUUCAAAUUGUUGCCACAUUUGGACAAGAUUUAUGUAUUCAAAUUGUUGCCACAUUUGGUUUUAACUUUGGUUAACCAAUCCUUUGGUUUAAACUUCGGUUUCACCGUAUUGUUAACAAAAUAUUUUUUUGAUAUUUUGUGCAUCUGCUAUUUAAAAAUCUUCUACUUUCAUUAUUGAGAUAAAAUGGAUUGAUAUUAAAUUAGUAAAUACAAACUCUAUUGGCAGAGGCCAUACAUAGAGUGGACAUAAUCGAAAGUGGAAAAGGCCUUGUGAUGUGUUGGCAGAGGCCAUACAUAGAGGGAUCACAAUUUAAGUUCAUCCCAUAAGGAUCCGAAUGCAAUGAAGAUGUCAAAAACAUUCAAUCAAAUUCACAUCUAUAAUAAUGUAGUUUAUAAUAAUGUAUCACAUCAUUCGAUAAUUUGUAUUUAUGGCAACCCAAGCUAACUUAACAAAUAUGAACAACAUUUAUAAAUCUAUAAGCUAGGUAAUUUAUACAAUCAGAACUCUAAUCAUUUAUCAUAAGUUCAUAUCAUUGUAAACUAGACUUAACAUUCCGAAAUUUCGAAUAAGAGAGAUCUUCUAACACUUUUAUACGGUAUAUCAAUUUCGAUUCAUUGACAAUAUUUCAUUACAUACAAAAUAUGCUUAUAUAACAAUAACAUAAUAACUAACAAGAUUUGCCUAUAAUUUUGUAUAGCUCUCCAACUGCUUCACUCCAAUUCAAAACAUUUCAAAGAGUGACAAGUUGACAAUGAAGUGAGCUAAAAACAGCUCAAUAAAAAAAGCAUAUUCAGAACAAAAGGAAUGGUUUCAAACAAGUAAGAUAUCAUAAUGCAAGGCAGAAUACAAGAAUUUUCCCUGUCUCCCUCUUUUCUCUUUUGCACAUAAGGUGCUCGCUGAAUUGCUUGUAAAGCUUUCCCUUUUUGCGAGACAUCGGGACUUGUCCGUCGCUCGUUCUUUCGAACUAAUCAAUUUUCUCUUUUUACAGGUCCUUCGGGACCUACGAGAGGUUACAAGUGGGUUGAUCCUUCGGGACCUACGAGAGGUUACAAGUGGGUUGAUCCUUAGGCAACGCAAGCUAAGUUCACGUCUUUGCCGCAAGGGUGACUCGCGACGAAGGCAACGUAAGCUAAGUUCGUGUCUUUGGCCGCAAGGGUGCCUUAUGCUUUAGGCAAUUCCAGCUAAGGCCAUGACAGCGGGCUCUAAGCAUUUAUCCUUUACCAUUUCUGCCAAAGGUCUAAAUAAUCCCACAAACACCAGAGUACAAAAAGGUAUUAUGAAUAAUAAAUUGGGAUAUAUUAGAAACAUAUACGGACAAUGAAAUGCAUGUGUCGAUACGAAAUAUUACGAUACAAACAUGAACUUUACAUAAUAAGUUUCAAGAAUGCAAAUAAUUUUAAGGACAAGAGCAUACAAGAAUUCAAAGCAUUAAUAUAAACUUCAAUUGAACAAGAAAGCUAAAUGAAAUUAAUUUCCAAAGGAAUGAAAUCGGAAUAUGUGAAAUUGACCAAAACUCGAUUUAUGGCAAAAUUUGAGAGGUACAUUUAACAAGUGAUUUAAAUAUCAAUUGUGCUCCUCAAGAAAGCUAUUAUGAAAAGAUAUUUCAAUCUAUUUUCAGAUAAAACAAGUCUCGUAUGAAUCGAAGUUUUCAAUAAAGAGUUACAAUAGAUUUAACAACUCAAGAUCAAAGAACAAAUCUCAAUUUUACAAGAUUCACAAGGUCUGUUUCAACAUAAAACUGGAUAGGCAUUUGGACUCUAAAUCUUUCAAUCUAGGUAUCAAAUGAAAGAUCUACGAGUUUAGUUUAAAAUGAAAUAAGUUUGGAAUAAAUCAAAGUUUCCAAUAGGGACUUAUAUGUAGUUUAGUAUUAAAAGGUCAGAAAUUACGAUCCAUAGUUUGGACAAGGAAACUUACUUUGAAUUCUUAAAAUAAGCUAUCGAAAGAAAGGUUUAUGAGUAUAUAUUCAUAUCAAAUAAGUUUUGUCCAAAUCAGAAGUUAGUGCAUAAAGUUAUAACCAUAACAAGAUAGAAAGGUCUGAAUCUCAGAAGUCUCACAUAUUCAAAUUGUUAUGUCUAAAUAGGAGAUAUAUUAAAUGUAAGAUUAGAAUAAUUCAAAGUUCCUUAUAUUCAAAGCAAAUGUAGAGAUAAAAUUGUAGUAAGGAAAGAUUAGGACCACUUGCAAUACGAAAGAUUAGAAAGUUUGCAAUAGGAAGGAUUGGAACACUUGCAAUAGGAAAAGAUCACAUCACUUGCAAUAGGAAGAAUCGAAACACUUGCAGAAGAAAAGGUUUAGGACAUUUGUAAGAGAAAAGAGCGGGACACUUGUAAUAGAAAGGAUCGAAACAAGAACCUCUCUACAGAAUGGCACCGCUCGAGCUCGAGGAAUUGAAGAAGCAAAUACAAGAGUUAUUAGAUAAGGGUUUCAUUCGACCCAACGUCUCACCGUGGGGUGCUUCAGUGCUAUUAGUUAAGAAGAAGGAUGGGACGUUGAGGCUUUUGUAUUGAUUAUAGACAGUUGAAUCAGGUGAUCAUCCCGUUGAGGCUUUGUAUUGAUUAUAGACAGUUGAAUCAGGUGAUUUUUUUAGACCAUGUUAUUUCAAGAAAGGGCAUAUUUGUUGAUCCAAAGAAGGUGGAAGCAGUAGUUAAUUGGGAAGUGGCAAUAAAUGUAACAGAAGUUAGAAGUUUCUUGGGCAUGGUAGGUUAUUAUAAUAGAUUUAUGGAGGGAUUUUCUUAAAUUGCUCAUCCCCUCACCAAACUGACUCAAAAGAAUGUGAAAUUUGAAUGGAGUGGUGAUUAUGAGCAAAAUUUUCAAGAAUUAAAAAGAAGAUUGACUAAUGCCCUAUUCUCACUAUUCCGAGUGGUAAUGAAUGAUUUGUAGUUUAUAUUGAUGCUUCAAGAAAGGGCUUUGCCUUGGAUGUAUUUUGAUGCAAGAAGGGAAAGUAAUUGCUUAUGCUUUAAGGUAGUUAAAGAAUUAUGAAUUGAAUUAUCCGACUCAUGAUUUGGAAUUGGCAGCAAUCAUCUUUGUUUUAAAGAUUUAGAGACAUUACUUGUAUGGGCGGACAUUUGAUAUCUUUAUUGAUCACAAGAGUUUAAAGUACAUUUUUACACGGAAGGAGUUAAAUAUGAGAUAGCGAAGAUGGAUAGAACUUCUAAAGGAUUAUGAUUUUACCAUCCGUUAUCACCUAGGUAAAGCAAAUGUUGUAGCUGAUGCACUUAGUAGAAAAUCUAAAAGUUUUAUGGCUAGUCUGGUUGUGAAACAAUAGAAGCUAUUAGAAAGAAAUUAUGAUUCGAAUGUAAUGAGGAAAGGGUAAGACUCAUAAUGUUGAUGGUCUCUAUCCAGAUGCAAAUUGAUCUCAUUCAACAAAUUAAAGAAGGACAACUAUGAGAUCCACAUUUAAUAUACUUGAAAAGAGAUUGAAGUUGAAUUUUCAAAUUUCAGGUGAUGGCCUAUUGAGAUUUGGGGAUAGAAUAUGUGUUUCAAAUGACCCAGAUAUUAAGAAUCAAAUCUUGAACGAAGGUCACAAUUCAAAGUAUACUAUGCAUCUUGGUAGCACGAAAAUGUAUAGAGAUCUCCAAAGUCAUUAUUGGUGGAAACGUAUGAAGAAAGAAAUUGCAAUAUAUGUUUCAAGAUGUUUGACAUGUUAGCAAAUCAAAACAAAACACUAAAGACUUGGAGGUUUGUUAUAGCCCUUAGAUAUUUCUGAAUGAAAAUGGGAAUGCAUUACUAUGGACUUUAUUUCAGGACUACCCAGAACCUCUAGAAAGCAUGAUGUUAUUUGGGUCAUUGUCGAUAGGUUAACUAAAUCCACACAUUUCUUACCAAUCAAUAUGACUUAUUCUCUUGAUAGACUUGCAGAUUUGUAUGUUGAUGAAAUAGUAAGACUUCAUGGUGUUCCGAAGGAGAUCAUUUUGGAUAGAGACUCCACAUUUCUUUCUAGAUUAUGUAAGAGAUUACAAGAUUCUAUGGGCACCAAAGUAAAGUUUAGUACUGCCUAUCACCCUUAGACUGAUGGUCAAUCUGAAACUGAUGGUCAAUCUGAAAGAACAAUUCAAGUACUUGAGGAUUUGUUUAGAGCCUAUGUUAUGAAUUGGAGAGGUGAAUGAGAUAAAGAUAUUUCUCUUAUUGAGUUCACUUACAAUAAUAAUUACCAUUCGAGCAUUCAGAUGGCUCCUUAUGAAGCAUUGUAUGGGCGAAAGUGCAGAAUGCCUAUAUGCUGGGAGGAAGUUGGUGAUAGAAAGUUGUUAGCACUAGAUAAAGUACAAGAGACUACUGAAAAGAUUCAGAUUAUUAUAAAAAGGCUAAAGGCUACUCAGAGUCUAUAAAAGAGUUAUGUUGACAAUAGAAGACGAGAUAUCGAGUUUCAAGUAAGGGAUUUUGUAUUCCUAAAGGUCUCCCCUUCCAAAGGCGUCGUAAGAUUUGGAAAGAAAGGAAAGUUAAACCCAAGGUUUAUUGGACCUUUUGAGAUCUUUGAAAGAAUUGGCUCUGUCAUUUACAAGAUUGCCUUGUCACCAUCGAUGUGUCAUAUCCAUGAUAUAUUUUAUGUGUCAAUGCUCAGAAAGUAUAUACCUGAUUCCUCUCAUGUCAUUGAGUAUGAACCGAUUGUGAUUGAGAAAGACUUGUUUUACAAGGAAGAAUCUAUUCGGAUUAUUAAUAAAAAGGAGAUCUUAAGAAAUAGAAUCAAUACUCUGGUGCCAGUAAUUUGGAAGCAUCAUUCUACAAAUGAAACGACUUGGGAGCUAGAGGAAGAAAUGAAGAAAGUUUAUCCUCAUCUUUUCGCCAAAAGAGGUAUGACAAAUUUAGAGGACUAAAUUUUCUUUUAAGGAGGGGAGAGUGUAACAUCCCUCAUUUUUUUAAAAAAAUUAUAAGGACUUAUUUGUAAAUAUGAGGAUUUUUUUAAAUAAUUCUUUAGCACUAAAUUUUUUUUAUAUAUAUUGAAAGUAUUGUGAGGGACCAAAAUAUUUUUUUAAUAAUUCUUUAGCACUAAAUAAAAUGGAGGACUUGUGGUAAUAGCAAGGAUGAGCCACUUAUAUUUAUUCUAAAGAUAACACCUAAACCUCCAUACAUGCUUGCCACCUCACUAUUUUAGCAUGAGCUAAACUUAAGUAAUUUAAGACACAAUUAGGAAAACUUUGCAUACAAUGUAACUUGAGAAGAGGAGAAGGAAUUGAAGCAGAAGAGAAAGAAAGAAUUGAAGAAGAAGUUUUAUCUUGGCUUAAGGCUUUGCAUCAAUUCUCCCACAUUUGGAAAUCAAAACUUUUUAAGGCAAGUGUUCUAACCCAUCAUAGAGAUAAUUUUUUAUCCUUGUUUUCACCUUGAUUUUAAGAAAAUUGGAAGAUUGUGGCUGCAUGUAAGAUAUCUAUGUCGUUUAUAUAUCAAAUGUUGAAUUUAGAAUUUUUUAGAUUUUGACAUUUCAGUGCUUGUGUAGCCAUAACUUUUUGCACCAAAUUCAGAUUGAGGAAAAACCUCUUUCAUAUGAAAGCAGACUUAUAGAGCUUUCAUUUGAUAUAAAAAAUUUAAAGAUUUAGAGUAAAUUUACCUAUCCAAACAUAUGAAUGAAAAGAUCUCAUGUAUUCGAUAAAAUAGAUAUUACAACUUUUGACCUUCUGUUAUUAAAUUGCUCAUAACUCUCUAAUUGUUAUGUUUAAUGUUUAUUUUUGAAUGAGGUAACCCUUUGUGAUUUUUUUAUCGAAUGAGAUGAUUUCAAAUGAACAUUGGUAUUUAUGCUUUUGUUAUCUUGAUACUAAGCCUGCUUGAACUUCUCAUAUCGCCAUGGAUAUGUUAGUCGUUUGCUAAGCUCUUUAUGCUCACUCUGUUGCUAUAUAAAUUUUUCAGGGUAGCUUGUCACGCACUGAAAAGCUAGAAUUGGGUUGAAGCAGUGAAAGUCUAGAAGAUUUUUGGGCUAAUCUUUGUUGGUUGAUAGGUUUUUAUUGUAUAGUAUAUUUUACUUCUGAUUUAAUGUUAAGGAUAUAUUGAUACUUAUGUGUUGUAAAAGUUUAAAGGAUCGCUCAUGUUUAUGAAAUGAUAACUUUAAGUUGUAUAAGGAU